rnacentral:rRNA from 1 species
UACGUAGGGUGCGAGCGUUAAUCGGAAUUACUGGGCGUAAAGCGUGCGCAGGCGGUUCGGCAAGUCAGGGGUGAAAUCCCCGGGCUUAACCUGAGAAUUGCGCUUGAAACUAGCGGGCUUGAGUGUGGCAGAGGGGGGUGGAAUUCCACGUGUAGCAGUGAAAUGCGUAGAGAUGUGGAGGAACACCGGUGGCGAAGGCAGCCCCCUGGGUCAACACUGACGCUCAGGCACGAAAGCGUGGGGAGCAAACAGG